UGCAGUCAAGUCAAAUUCAGCCCCUGUCCUGUCGUGGUGGGGGCUGGCCUAGAUGGCUGCCAUAGCAAGCUCUGCUGCUCAUGGGCCUUGGGUCCCCUGCUCUGGGACCUGGGGAUAAGUUUGGCUGCAGACACCA
rnacentral:snoRNA from 1 species